rnacentral:rRNA from 1 species
GACGAACGCUGGCGGCGUGCUUAACACAUGCAAGUCGAACGGACAGGCCCUGCUUUUGUGGGGUGCUCGAGUGGCGAACGGGUGAGUAACACGUGUGUAACCUGCCCCUGUCUUUGGGAUAACUUCAGGAAACUGGGGCUAAUAUACCAUAGGAGCUCCUGCUGCAUGGUGGUGAUUGGAAAGAUUCGGCUGUUGGGGAUGGACUCGCGGCUUAUCAGCUUGUUGGUGUGGUUGUGGCUUACCAAGGCUGUGACGGGUAGCCGGCCUGAGCGGGUGACCGGCCACAUUGGGACUGCGGUACGGCCCAGACUCCUACGUGAGGCAGCAGUGGGGAAUAUUGCACAAUGGGCGGAAGCCUGAUGCAGCAACGCCGCGUGCGGGAUAACGGCCUUCGGGUUGUAAACCGAUUUCGCCUGUGACGAAGCGUGAGUGACGGUAAUGGGUAAAGAAGCACCGGCUAACUACGUG